UAGCUCAGUUGAUAUAGCAUGGUGUUUGCAAUGCCAGGGUUGUGGGUUCGAUUCCCAC
rfam:Salmo salar isolate Sally breed double haploid chromosome ssa06, whole genome shotgun sequence.